CCUACGGGUGGCAGCAGUGAGGAAUAUUGGUCAAUGGACGAGAGUCUGAACCAGCCAAGUAGCGUGAGGGAUGAAGGUUCUAUGGAUCGUAAACCUCUUUUAUAAGGGAAUAAAGUGUGGGACGUGUCCUGUUUUGUAUGUACCUUAUGAAUAAGGAUCGGCUAACUCCGUGCCAGCAGCCGCGGUAAUACGGAGGAUCCGAGCGUUAUCCGGAUUUAUUGGGUUUAAAGGGUGCGUAGGCGGCCUUUUAAGUCAGCGGUGAAAGUCUGUGGCUCAACCAUAGAAUUGCCGUUGAAACUGGGAGUCUUGAGUAGGUUAGAGGCAGGCGGAAUGCGUGGUGUAGCGGUGAAAUGCUUAGAUAUCACGCAGAACCCCGAUUGCGAAGGCAGCCUGCCAGGCCAUGACUGACGCUGAGGCACGAAAGCGUGGGGAUCAAACAGGAUUAGAUACCCGGGUAGUC
rnacentral:rRNA from 1 species